rnacentral:tRNA from 1 species
GCCCCCGUGGUGGAACUGGUAGACACAGGAGCUUCAAAAACUCCCGCCUUCGGGCGUGCCCGUUCGAUUCGGGCCGGGGGCAUCA